rnacentral:rRNA from 1 species
ACGGAAGGCAGCAGUGGGGAAUAUUGCACAAUGGGCGCAAGCCUGAUGCAGCGAUGCCGCGUGAGGGAAGAAGGUUUUCGGAUUGUAAACCUCUGUCAUCGGGGACGAUAAUGACUGUACCCGAGAAGGAAGCUCCGGCUAACUACGUGCCAGCAGCCGCGGUAAUACGUAGGGAGCGAGCGUUAUCCGGAAUUACUGGGUGUAAAGGGAGUGUAGGCGGGACUGUAAGUCAGAUGUGAAAUAUACCGGCUCAACUGGUAGACUGCAUUUGAAACUGCGGUUCUUGAGUGAAGUAGAGGUUGGCGGAAUUCCGAGUGUAGCGGUGAAAUGCGUAGAUAUUCGGAGGAACACCGGUGGCGAAGGCGGCCAACUGGGCUUUAACUGACACUGAGGCACGAAAGCGUGGGGAGCAAACAGGAUUAGAUACCCUGGUA